AUUGAACGCUGGCGGCAGGCCUAACACAUGCAAGUCGAGCGAGCGGCGGACGGGUGAGUAAUGUCUGGGAAACUGCCUGAUGGAGGGGGAUAACUACUGGAAACGUGAGCUAAUACCGCAUACCAUCAGAGGUGCCCAGAUGGGAUUAGCUAGUAGGUGGGGUAAUGGCUCACCUAGGCGACGAUCCCUAGCUGGUCUGAGAGGAUGACCAGUCACACGGGAACUGUGACACGGUCCAGACCCCUACGGGAGUAACAAGUGGGGAAUAUUGCACAAUGGGCGCAAGCCUGAUGCAGCCAUUCCGCGUGUGUGAAGCAGGCCUUCGGGUUGUAAAGCACUUACAGCGGGGAGGCGUUACCCUCAGAAGAAGCACCGGCUAACUCCGUGCCAGCAGCCGCGGUAAUAC
rnacentral:rRNA from 1 species